GGCUACAGCCAUGACACCCUGAACAAGCUCCAUCCCGUCUGAUCUCGGAAGCUAAGCAGGGUCGGGCCAGGUUAGUACUUGGAUGGGAGACCACCUAGGAAGACCAGGUGCUGUUGGUG
rnacentral:rRNA from 1 species